UUAUUUGUUUCUGAAGAUUCCUCCCGCUUGUUUGUGUGGUCCACUUAAAGCAGAACUGUCUUGGUCCAGGUCCAGGAGGAGCAUCUUUACCCCCGGAUGGAGACAUUCAAGUAGUUGUGUGUACCUGUUCCUGCGGAGGCUCAGCACCGACGGCGAGCACACUCAUGCUGAUGCUGACACAAAGCACCAAAACAGCCAAAACCAGCAGCGUGAUGUCCAUCCCUCGAGUCAGCCGCUGCCCAUAAACAGAUACGAAAAUGGAGAAGUUACGGUUGUCGCUCCUUGCAGAGGAUAAAUAUAUACCUC